AACAAGGUUUCCGUAGGUGAACCUGCGGAAGGAUCAUUACCGAGUUUUCGGGCUUCGGCUCGACUCUCCCACCCUUUGUGAACGUACCUCUGUUGCUUUGGCGGCUCCGGCCGCCAAAGGACCUCCAAACUCCAGUCAGUAAACGCAGACGUCUGAUAAACAAGUUAAUAAACUAAAACUUUCAACAACGGAUCUCUUGGUUCUGGCAUCGAUGAAGAACGCAGCGAAAUGCGAUAAGUAAUGUGAAUUGCAGAAUUCAGUGAAUCAUCGAAUCUUUGAACGCACAUUGCGCCCCUUGGUAUUCCGGGGGGCAUGCCUGUUCGAGCGUCAUUACAACCCUCAAGCUCUGCUUGGAAUUGGGCACCGUCCUCACUGCGGACGCGCCUCAAAGACCUCGGCGGUGGCUGUUCAGCCCUCAAGCGUAGUAGAAUACACCUCGCUUUGGAGUGGUUGGCGUCGCCCGCCGGACAAACCUUCUGAACUUUUCUCAAGGUUGACCUCGGAUCAUGUAGGGAUACCCGCUGAACUUAAGCAUAUCAAUAAGCGGAGGA
rnacentral:rRNA from 1 species